AUGGUCUAUACAGAGUAUUGGCCAAAAUCCACCCAUCAGGGUCGGUUUAGUACAGAGUGCUGGCCAACAUCCACCAAUCAGGGACGUCUAGUACAGAGGCUGGCCAACAUCCACCAAUCAGGGUCGGUCUGGUUCAGAGUGCGGCCAACUCCAUCCAUCAGGGACGUCUGGUUAAGAGUGCUGGCCAACUCCACCAAUCAGGGACAGUCUAGUUCAUCAGGGACGGUCUUGUUCAUCAGGGUCGGUCUUGUGCAUCAGUCGGUCUUGUCAUCAGGGUCGUCCUUGUUCAUCAGGGUCGGUCUUGUUUCAUCAGGUCGGUCUGUUCAUCGGGUCGGUCUUGUUCAUCAGGGUCGUCGUGUUUAGUCGCGCAUCGU
rnacentral:lncRNA from 1 species